GAUGAACGCUGGCGGCGUGCCUAACACAUGCAAGUCGAACGGAGAUUCCGGACGGAAGUUUUCGGAUGGAAGCCUGUAAUUCUUAGUGGCGGACGGGUGAGUAACGCGUGGGCAACCUGCCCUAUACAGGGGGAUAGCAGCUGGAAACGGCUGGUAAGACCGCAUAAGUCGGUUAAAUCGCAUGAUUUGAUCGGGAAAUGAGCAAUCAGGUAUAGGAUGGGCCCGCGUCCGAUUAGCCAGUUGGCAGGGUAAAAGCCUACCAAAGCGACGAUCGGUAGCCGGACUGAGAGGUCGGACGGCCACAUUGGGACUGAGACACGGCCCAAACUCCUACGGGAGGCAGCAGUGGGGGAUAUUGCACAAUGGAGGAAACUCUGAUGCAGCGACGCCGCGUGAGUGAAGAAGUAUUUCGGUAUGUAAAGCUCUAUCAGCAGGGAAGAUGAUGACGGUACCUGACUAAGAAACCCCGGCUAACUACGU
rnacentral:rRNA from 1 species